CUUAUUCUACACACUGACCCCAGUCAGUAGUUUGAGCACCUUUUCUACACACUGACCCCAGCCAGCAUUGUGAGCACCUUAUUUUACACACUGACCCCAGCCAGCAGUGUGAGUACCUUAUUCUACACACUGACCCCAGCCAGCAGUGAAUCAUAUGUUGCCAAUUUUCCACUGAGCCCUGAAAGUCCUCAAAGAGACCCACUAUCCCUUAUACUCUGCCCCGAGGGAUGAUGGGAGAUGCACACCCUGAUCAUGUGACUCCUGCAUGAUCAUCACCUGGCCCUCUGGCUAGAAGAACACUGCAGAGUAGUUAUAAAGUUCCCUCAUUUGAGGCAAAAUCAACAAACGGAUCUCUUCUACCUCUAAUUAUUUCAAACAGUAAUUUGAUAAUUACGUGAAUUAAAUUUGAUUUUAUGAAACUGAACACUAAUUUUUAAAAAUAAACAAUAAUAACAAAAGAAUAAUCAUUAACGAUAAUGAUUUAAUGGAUAGUGGGUCUUUUUGUGGCUUUCUUUUAAGACUAAUAUCUUUAAUCUUUCUUUUCUGCUUUGUCAUUAUUGUUCAUUCAAGCACCUCCCUGAUUUACAUCCUGGAGCAACUGCUAAAGAAAUGACCACCUUGUCCCAUUCCAUUGGAUGUUGACUUGCUUCCCUCCUCACUUAUGCCCUGUCCCCUACCUUACUAAUCCUCUACCCCACCCCCUCACCCCACACUACCUCCCACAGCUCUACAGAAAGACCCACUAUCUCCCAGCGCUGUGUGUGCUUACACUGUAUCAUCAGAGCCUGCAUCUGAAACGCUGUGUUUUUAUCUCUGCUGACCUGUCACAUGGGCAACUGGAGGAGUUCAGAGGUCACAGACCCACAGAGGAGAUGGCAUUUGGGAGCGGGGGCUUAUAUUUGUGUUACAUACAGGAUCCGCCACUGGUGCUGUCAGUCAAAACUCUGUGGGUGUGACUGAACUCUUUAAUUUGUCCAAUUGCUUUUCAGCCACUUUUGUCUGUUAUACCAAAAGUUCUUAUGUUCAGUGUUUUGUUCAUGUACUCCACUUUUCCAUUUGUUUCAUAGCAUUUGUGUGGUGGGGUUGAGAGCAGUGUUUUAAACCAAAUGAUCCUUCACAACCAGAAGGGGGAAAAACACACCUGUGCACACAAACACACACAUGCACAGACAUGCAUACAUGUGCACGCACACACGCACACACUUACACAUACACACACACACAUACACACACAUGCAUGCACAUUUGCGCACACACACAUGCAUGCACAUACAGCACCCAUUCUCACAUGCGUUUUUACACGUAUUCACACGCACUCGUGCGCACACACUCUCACAUAUGCACACACUUGCUUGCAUGCACACUUCAUUUGGGUGAGCACGCACACGUUGUGUUUUUAAGUGUCUAUGUAGGCUAAUUUAUUCACCGUUUAAAACCUUCACCUUUAUUUGCUCAUUGUAAUGUGUCAUUAAUUGUUCAAAGCAAGUUGAGGGCAAUUCAGCUAGUUUACAUGAUGUUUUCACAUCAGUUUUUCUUUCAGCUGUUUAACUUGGAAAAUGUUUGAAUUGUUGUGUGAGUCAGAGAACGCUUGUUGCCUAAGUCAUUCUGUAGUGGCCUAGUCUAUUUUUAUAUCUGAAUGAAAUUGUAAUAGUGUUUUUUAAAAAUAUCUACGGUAUGUAUUAUUUUACAUUUUCCCCACUGACAAUGGAUUGCAAUAAAACCUCAGACAAGUGUAGCUUGGAAUCACCUACUGUGAAAUCUUUUUUGAAACCGCAUUCAUUUUAUUGAUGCACUUUUUGUUUUGGGGUAACUUUUUAAAAGAACAGCAAUCUUUUUGGGAAAAAAAUGCAGCUCAAUGGAAAUAGUUCUACCCUCUGUGUAAUCCAAGUGUUUGCAAGUGAAGAAAAAAACACUUUGAGAAUGAUUUUUUAAUUAAAGCGACGGAGCUUUCCUCCUGUAUCACAGCACAGAAGGCCUGUUUUGUUUAUUUUUCUCAUGCAGUAAAGCACAGGGCCUCAUCCUUGGCUUGAGAUACCGAGACUUAACUCAAAUUUCUUAAUUAAACAUUGAGCAGUUUGCUCCCUACACGUGUCCUGUCUCGGGUGACAUAUGGCAUAAGUCACCAAGUGGGGAUAUGAUAGAUGCUUGUGGGCGGAGUCUCACUGAAAAGAAGGCGUGUUCCAUGUAAUUUUCAGUUCUACAAAUCCACAGCUCUCACAGACAACAGCACUUUUUUAAACUUUUUAUCUAGUUUUAUCUAUGCAGGAAGUCCUAUGUAGCUGAUUUUAUACAGAGAAAGCACUAUCUCAAGUCAAGAUGGGGCCUUUGCAGCACAAACACAGCUGUCAUUUCCUGUUUUAGUUUUAGUAAUUUUUGCAUAACAGUUUUGCCAUUUUAAUAUAAUUCCAUAAUGAAAUGAACAGCUUAUGCUUCUGUUGUUGCGCGAGAGUACUGGAUUUUGCUUCUUUAUGAUUGGCUGGUUGGACUGUCAGGUAUCUGGGAUCAUUUGUAAUUAUGAGCAGCCUAAGUGUGAACAGCACCGAAGUGUGAAGAAGUGUGUGAGCUGUGUCUGAAUGCAGUGAGCUCUCCAAUGUUACUCUGCACACAAGAAAUCUCACGAAAAGAAGAGAAAUAAAAGCAAAACCCUGUCGCUGU